ACGGAAGGCAGCAGUGAGGAAUAUUGGUCAAUGGGCGAGAGCCUGAACUAGCCAAGUCGCGUGAAGGAUGAAGGUUCUAUGGAUUGUAAACUUCUUUUGUUCGAGGGUAAAGUGAGGGAUGCGUCUCUUAUUGCAAGUAUCGAACGAAUAAGCAUCGGCUAACUCCGUGCCAGCAGCCGCGGUAAUACGGAGGAUGCGAGCGUUAUCCGGAUUUAUUGGGUUUAAAGGGUGCGUAGGCGGGAUGUUAAGUCAGCGGUGAAAGCGUGUAGCUCAACUAUACCAAGCCGUUGAAACUGGCGUUCUUGAGUGUAAACGAGGUAGGCGGAAUGUGACGUGUAGCGGUGAAAUGCUUAGAUAUGUCACAGAACCCCGAUUGCGAAGGCAGCUUACCAGCAUACAACUGACGCUGAGGCACGAAAGUGCGGGGAUCAAACAGGAUUAGAUACCCUGGUA
rnacentral:rRNA from 1 species